rnacentral:snRNA from 1 species
GGAUGUGAGGGCGAUCUGGCUGCAACAUCUGUCACCCCAUUGAUCUCCAGGGUUGAUUCGGCUGAUCUGGCUGGCUAGGCGGAUGUCCCCUUCCUCCCUCACCACCCCAUGUGCUUCUCUCCCAAAGCUGCACGCUUGGUCGAAGAGGAAGGCCUUCCCCAAACAGAGACUGACUGGUCUUUGGUGGAGGGUAUAAGAGUAGCUGCACUCCUCUGCUAGAACCUCCAAACAAGCUCUCAAAAGUGGUCUAAUAAAGCUUUAUUUAUAAAGCAGAAGACUGGAUUCAGGCAAUAAAUUUUGGCUUGGUGAAAACUGCUUGAAUU